rnacentral:rRNA from 1 species
GACAGAGGGUGCAAACGUUGUUCGGAAUUACUGGGCGUAAAGCGCGUGUAGGCUGCUCUGCAAGUCGGAUGUGAAAGCCCUGGGCUCAACCUAGGAAGUGCAUUCGAAACUGCGGAGCUUGAGUCCUGGAGAGGAAGGCGGAAUUCUCGGUGUAGAGGUGAAAUUCGUAGAUAUCGAGAGGAACACCUGCGGCGAAGGCGGGUUGCUGGGCUGACACUGACGCUGAUGCGCGAAAGCCAGGGGAGCGAACGGG